rnacentral:rRNA from 1 species
UACGUAGGGGGCAAGCGUUGUCCGGAUUUAUUGGGCGUAAAGAGCGUGUAGGCGGCUUGGUAGGUCCGUUGUGAAAACUCGAGGCUCAACCUCGAGACGCCGAUGGAAACCACCUAGCUAGAGUCCGGAAGAGGAGAGUGGAAUUCCUGGUGUAGCGGUGAAAUGCGCAGAUAUCAGGAAGAACACCGGUGGCGAAGGCGGUUCUCUGGGCCUGUACUGACGCUGAGGAACGAAAGCGUGGGGAGCGAACAGG